AGCCCGGCCCGGUCCGGCCCAGCCUCCUCCUCCGCGCUGUUUCCCGGUGCGGUUGUCCGAGCGCGGUUGGCCCUUGGCUGGAGGUCGGCUAUGUGCUCGUGGUCCUCAGCAUCUCCUGCCAGCUGUCCGGACGAGUCAUUAGUCCAACUCUUCCCAAAGAGAGCUUUUAACCUCCAGGAGGCUGCGACUGUCACAGAGUGGCGAUGGAGUGCUUGAGUUUUGCCUUGGCCUGAAAAACUGCCCUACAGCAAGGGUGAGCGGCCGAGCCCAGAGGGUGAUCGGUGGCACAGAGGCUAACUGGGGGGCAGUAUCAGGCAGAGCACCCCAGGGGUCCGUUCUGUGUGCCGUCCUGUUCUACAUCUUCUCUGACGGGAUGCUGGGGCAGAGUGUACCCUCAGCAGGGCUGCAGGUGGCAUCAGCCUGGGAGGAGUGGCAGGCACAGCAGAGGGCCGCGCUGCCAUCCAGAGGGACCUCGAAGCUGCUCUGUCCUCUCUGCUUCUAGGAUGAUCAGCAGGUUCCGUCUGUAGUUUCAACCCACAUCACCUUGGUGAUCUCAGAGGCCAAUGGAGAGCUCUGAUUGCUUUCUGCCAUCCCUAAAUCAAAGUGAAAAUCCUUCGGGUGAAUGAGCAGGUCACAGAGGGAAACCACAGUCCUUACAGGAAAAAAGAAAAAAAAAAAAAGGCAUGUCUGUGUUUUCCAACUGUGCUCAUUUGGAUCAUUGGAGUUUCCUUUAGCUCUUACUCCUACACAGAGCCAUCAGCUAAAGCUGACACUUUCUGGGUGUAAGCCUGCAUGGGCAUGUGUCUCUCCUUCAGUGUUACUUGUGAGCGUUCAGGCUGAGAGGCCUGAGUCCAGACAGCACUCUACAACACGUUCCCAUGAGUGAUGGGUUCAGCCAGUGCCUGCGUUCAGCUCAGAGCUGAAUAAUUUCAGCAUCGGCAAUUGCCAUACAGAGGAGUUCCUCAGCCACCAGUCUGUCUCACGGCUUGAUGAAGUGACAGGAACAAACACUGGGAUGUCAUCCAGAGAAAUGAGCUUGGCCACUGUGGACUUUGCUGGGAACCAUCUGAUGUUUUAGCACUUUUCCCAUUAAAUGCAUGCCAUGGAGCAGAGGAAGGCAUUCCCUGCCCCCUGCUGCUGGCCUUUGGGUGCAGGCAGGACUCUGUCAGCCCGAUUCUGUUCUGAAAAUAAAAAUCCAUUUUCCAUCAUUUUAGCUAAGCACACCAAUAAGAUGAUGGUGUC
rnacentral:lncRNA from 1 species